GAGAGCUUGGCAGCGCCUUUGCUGACACCGGCUGCAGCGGCAGCGGCGCGCUUGGGCGCCGUUGCUUUGGCGGCCUCAGCAGCCACGACAGGGACGACUGCAGCAGCGGCGACCUGGGCAAGGGAGGCUGACUGGACAACAGCCGCCGCAGCAGGCUCAGAUGCAAGCGCUGUGGGACUUGGCGCGCCAGCUUCUAUUGCCUUGCCCGUAUAGCCAGCUGCGCGCGACCGCGUGGUCCUCAUCAGAUAUUCGGCCUCAGCAAGCCUGCGGGCAGUAAACGUGUGUGUAUUCAGUGGACACCUCCACUGAAUCAAAGAGUAGUAAAGAAAAGUCAACCCGUGAUAUUUAUGUGGCACGGAAGGCCCGCGGGGAGAGAAAGUUUCACAAGUCUCUGAAAUAUCAGUCAACCAGGUGUCACCGGCAGGAGAGCACAGGACAAAGCAAGCAUGACAGGCACAAUGACACCCAUCUGAUCUUGUACAAAGAACAUUGUUUGGUACCACCAAGUCCAUGCGGAACGAUACAUUAUAGAUCCUUACAUCAUUUCGAUGAUAUCGACGAGAUCGGAGAAAGCAUCAACGAGAAAUCAGCAUUAGAGCGAGAAGCCCACCUCACGGAGAUGUCAGAGCUAGCUGAGACUAUUCGCAGCGCAAAGCGAUUGCAAAUUGGCUAUAUGCUACAGUUCUAUCAACGAUUGCUCAUGGAACGGACGGGAAGCAUUGUUCCCGAGCUAUCCAAGUGCAGAUUUCAGGCCUUCCUGGCGCG
rnacentral:lncRNA from 1 species